GUCUUUGGGGCCUCUUUGAGCGGAACGUGUACUCUUGGAAGCUGGUUUGGAGGGUAUUCUAAUUAAGGCGAGAGUGCGACCGAGCUUUGGAUCACCUUUAGUGAACCUGUGAGAGCUCUUGGAGACUCAUCUUGAGCAGAGUUGAGACCUUGUGGAGCUAAUUUUGGGAGUUCCUUUGGACUGAUUGGAGCCUAG